AUUUUUUAUUUUGUUUUAUGUUUUGAGGUUUAAGUCUUAAAAAGGACCAAUCAACAGGCAAUGGCAUUCUGCUACAUGGCUGCAUGGCUGGAGCCUGCUUAGGGAAUACCAACACUUCCUGAAUCUUCUAGAUGAAGAACCAAGGCGGGUGAAGUAAUGAUGCAUCUCUUAACACUCUCUCCUCUUUUCGUCUCCCUCACCAUCUGUUUGUUUUGAAGUCUUCCUCCAGCAAGGCGGAAAUGGAUUUCUUUAAGAUGGGGGAAGUGGCUGCAGAGUGUCUUGGGAUGGUCAUUCCGGUUGGAAUAGAAUAAAUCUGCUGGUCUGCUCGGAAGGGAAAUGAUGAGAGAAGUGAAUGGGUUGGGAAAUAUGACAGAU